AAACCAUGAUUCGGGCUCUUACACAAAUAAUCCUUGAAUCUCUCCCAUGCUUCAUAUAAUUGUUCCCCCUUAUUGCUUAAAUUCAUAGAUCUUGUCACGAAUUU